rnacentral:tRNA from 2 species
UUAACUGAAACCAAAAUAGAGGUAUAUUACUGUUAAUGAUAAAAAUGAGACUUUCUCCAGUUAAA